rnacentral:rRNA from 1 species
UACAGAGGUCUCAAGCGUUGUUCGGAUUCAUUGGGCGUAAAGGGUGCGUAGGUGGUGCUGUAAGUCAGGUGUGAAAUCUCGGGGCUCAACCCCGAAACUGCACUUGAUACUGCAGUGCUCGAGGACUGGAGAGGAGACUGGAAUUUACGGUGUAGCGGUGAAAUGCGUAGAUAUCGUAAGGAAGACCAGUGGCGAAGGCGGGUCUCUGGACAGUUCCUGACGCUGAGGCACGAAGGUCAGGGGAGCAAACGGG